AUAACCUCUACUCAAUCCAUGCUAAUAAAACAAGACCAACCGAGCGGCACGUUACGAACAACAGUGCUCACCGAGAAAGCGUAGCUAGGCCUGAAGCUAACUUUAACUGGAGAUGCGACAGAAUAAGUGAAGAAUAAGGGGCUUAUUUUUUUCCCGAUAAUCCAAAAGCCUAUGGGAAAAUCCUAUUGGGUUUUUGUUGAGGGAAUCGGUGUGAUGCUAACUAGCAAUGCUACCUGUUGUUCCAGCACACCACUCCUAAAAUAAACAGGAUCGUGGGGACCCUGGAGACUAUCCCAGGGAGCAUCGGGCACAAGGCGGGGUACACCCUGGACAUGGUGCCAAUCCAUCACAGGUCACAAUCACAUACACACUCACACACCCAUUCAUACACUACGGACACAUUAGACACGCCAAUCAGCCUACCAUGCAUGUCUUUGGACUGGGGGAGGAAACCGGAGUACCCGGAGGAAACCCCCGCAGCACGGGGAGAACAUGCAAACUCCGCACACACAGGGCCACGGAGGGACUCGAACCCCGCGACCCUGGAGGUGUGAGGCGAACGUGCUAACCACUAAGUCUUGAGAGGCCUUCAAACUGAAAUAAGUAUUCUGAUUCUAACAACAUAAA